rnacentral:rRNA from 1 species
AUACGUAGGGGGCAAGCGUUAUCCGGAUUUACUGGGUGUAAAGGGAGCGUAGGUGGUGAUGCAAGUCAGAAGUGAAAGCCCUCGGCUCAACUGAGGGACUGCUUUUGAAACUGCAUUACUAGAGUGCAGGAGGGGUAAGCGGAAUUCCUAGUGUAGCGGUGAAAUGCGUAGAUAUUAGGAAGAACACCGGUGGCGAAGGCGGCUUACUGGAAUGAAACUGACACUGAGGCUCAAAAGCGUGGGGAGCAAACAGGAUUAGAUACCCGGGUAGCCCACGCCGUAAACGAUGAAUACUAGGUGUAGGGAGGCAUAGCCUCUCGGUGCCGCAGUUAACGCAAUAAGUAUUCCACCUGGGGAGUACGUUCGCAAGAAUGAAACUCAAAUGAAUUGACGGGG